UAUUCCCCACUGCUGCCUCCCGUAGGAGUCUGGGCCGUAUCUCAGUCCCAAUGUGGCCGUUCAACCUCUCAGUCCGGCUACUGAUCGCAGCCUUGGUAGGCCGUUACCCUACCAACUAGCUAAUCAGACGUGAGCCCAUCCCUCAGCGGAUUUCUCCUUUGGUAUUCAGAUGAUGCCACCCGAAUACGUCAUGCGGUAUUAGCAGUCGUUUCCAACUGUUGUCCCCCUCUGAAGGGCAGGUUGCUCACGCAUUACUCACCCGUUCGCCACUCAGUCAAAGAAGAACUUUGACGAAUCCCCAUUCUUCAGUGCUUCGUUCGACUUGCAUGUGUUAGGCAUGCCGCCAGCGUUCAUCCUGAGCCAA
rnacentral:rRNA from 1 species